UGGACAUCUGCGUCGUUGCACUAAUUUUCAUUGGCUGAAUGCAUGCACAAUUAAGGAUGUGCAUCCCCUACCUCACCAGGCCAAUGCAUUGGCUGCUCUCGGAGGAAAUGCAUUCUUUUUGACCAUGGACUUGACCUCUGGUUACUACAAUGUCGAGGUCCAUGAAGAAGACAAAAAGUUCACUGCAUUCACCUCUCCUUUCGGGCUGUAUGAAUACAACAGGCUUCCACAGGGUCUCUGAAACAGCCCAGCUACAUUCAUGCAGAUGAUGAUGGGCAUCUUUGGAGAUCAGAACUUCCUUAGCCUCCUUUGUUACCUUGAUGACAUUCUUGUCUUUGCUCCAAAUGAACAGGUGGCUUUGCAAAGGCUGGAGAUUGUGUUUGAGAGGCUAAAGGCCUCAAGCUUGCUCCCAAAAAGUGCCACUUCAUGCGAUCAUCUGUGAAGUUCUUGGGGCACAUUGUAACCAAGGAUGGCAUCUCCACUGACUCAGAGAAAGUCAGAGCUACAGUGGACAUCAGUGAGAAUGACUUGAUGGCCGAUAACACCAGCGUUCCCUCUCCCUCCAAGAUAAGAUCGUUUCUUGUCGGGAUGCACCGAUGCCGAUACUGGUAUCGGGCAUCGAUCUGAUACCAGGCAUGAGUACUCAUACUCGUACUCAUAAAAUGGCCAACGAUACACGACACCGAUACACUUGACUGCAACGCGGGCAGCGACAAGUCACGUCAGCAGUGUGGAACUAUUUUCAGGUGAAUGAGAAUGACAAAAACAAAGCAGAAUGCAAAUUAUGUCCAGCAAAAGUGUCCAGAGGAGGAACAAAAUCUACCACUUACAACACAAGCAACUUGAUUAAACAUUUGAAAUCCUAGCACGAUGCAGAAUAUAAGGAGUUAAUUCCCGACACCAACAAGAGACAACCAACUUUGCAGCAGAUGCUGGCUAAGCAGGAGAAAAUGUUCAGAGACAACCCACGUGCGGUCAAAAUCACAGAUGCCCUUGCCGAGUAUACUUCCCUGGAUGACCAGCCACUGUCCGUGGUCAAAAAUUUGGGAUUCUGGCGUCUUCUCUGCAUACUGGAGCUGAGGUAUGAAAUUCCUAGCCAUACCCAUAUCACAGACACAGUGCUACCGAAGCUGCAUGACACAUCCACAACCUAUUCCAUGAUGUUAAAACUUUAAGCUUCACCACGGACAUUUGGAGCAGCAGCGUCAGCUCAGUGUCUCUCAUCAGCCUGACUGCACAGUCGAUUGAUGAUUAUUUUAAGCUGCAGAAGGCCAUACUGCAUGCAAAACAAUUCAGAGGUUGGCACACCGGCCAAGCCAUUGCAGAUGAGUUUGAUGUUAUGCUUCAGACGUGGGCCAUUAAUAAAAGUGCAGUUCAUGUUGUGCUACGAGAUAACGCGAAGAACAUGGUGAAAGCCAUGCGUCAUGUGGAGCUUCUGAUCCUCCCAUGUGUCGCACACACAUUGCAGCUGGCUGUAAACGAGGGGCUGCUGGCUCAGAGAAAUGUAGCCGAUGCAGUGGCAGUGGGACGAAAAAUUGUUGGACAUUUUAAACACUCCGCUUUAGCCUACUCCCAACUGGAGGACAUACAAGUGUAACUCAACCAGCCUGUUAAAAGACUCCAACAGGAUGUUCCGACCCGCUGGAACAGCACUUAUUACAUGCUUCAGUCUCUCAUUGGGAAUAUUUGGGUCAGACUACGACCUUCCUGACAACUUCAUUGUCACCGCUCACCAGUGGUCACUUUUUGAGAAAAUUUUGUCUGUGCUUGCUCCGUUUGAGGAACUAACCCGAAAAAUGAGCUCACGUGAUGCACUUGCAUCUGAUGUCAUUCCUGCUGUGACCGUGCUUAUGAGACUUCUGACCAAUGAAACGGACGAGGACCAUGGCAUUAAAACCAUGAAGGAGACUUUGGCUGCAGCCGUCAAGAGGCACCUCGGUGACGGGGAAACAAACCCAAUGUACUGCAUCGGGACUCUUCUCGAUCCGAGGUACAAAGAUCGCUUUUUCUCAAACACUGACACUGCUACAGAGGCCAAGGAGAUGCUGAUGCUGCGCAGGAUGUCCACAGGAGAGGCAGACAAGCAGGAGGAUCUUGGAGAUCCACCUGUCAGAAAGCUUCGUAAGGUGCAAGCCAGCAGCAGUCUGGACAGUUUGAUGAGAUAGCAGGUGAACGGGAAUCAACAUCACCGGGCCUUGCACCAGUGGGAGCUGCCAUUCAGUUAGAGACAUAUCUCGGAGAGACCAGAACUGCUCGAGAGGAAAACCCUCUACAAUACUGGGGGGCUCACAGAGUGCGAUUUCCAAUUCUGGCUCAAAUGUCAAAGAGAUACCCGUCAGCCCCAUGCAGCAGUGUGGACAGUGAACGUCUGUUCAGCUCAGUGCCCCACAUUGUUGAUGAAAAACGCAACAGACUCACAGCUGAAAAUGCAGAGAAGCUUCUUUUGAUCAAAAAGAACCUGCCCCUCACUUACACAAAGUAAGUUUAAUCAUCACAGACAGAUGCUGUGAUGACAUGUUGAUCGCUUGAGAUACUCAGCCAGUUUUAUGUUGGUUCUUGAAUGAAUAUUUUGAGUAAAUGUUGAAGUUAAAUAUGUGGCAAAGCUGUUAAAACCACAGAAGCAGAAAGCGACAAUUUUACACUCAGGUCUUUUGGUGAUGUGUGACAGUGGAAUGUUUAAAACACUUUUGUUAAAUGCCAGCACUCAGUAUGUGACAAUGUUUUACUGGAAUCUUACAAUAUGUGUGGCAGUGUAAUGUUUAUAAAAGCACUAAUGUUGAAUGUCAGUAUAUGACAAUUUUGUUAAAUUUUGUUUGUACUGCAGUGAAACUUGUGACAGUCACCCAUGUACAAGAAAAUCAAAUAACAGACGAUAUCUGUGGAAAAAUUAAAAAAAAUAAUCAAAAUAA